rnacentral:rRNA from 1 species
GACGAACCGAGCGAACGUUGUUCGGAAUCACUGGGUGUAAAGGGCUCGUAGGCGGUUUGUCGCGUCGGGAGUGAAAACAUCUGGCUUAACUGGGUGCUUGCUUUCGAUACGGGCAGACUAGAGGUAUGCAGGGGAGAACGGAAUUCCUGGUGUAGCGGUGAAAUGCGCAGAUAUCAGGAGGAACACCGGUGGCGAAGGCGGUUCUCUGGGCAUGAUCUGACGCUGAGGAGCGAAAGUGUGGGGAGCGAACAGG